rnacentral:misc_RNA from 1 species
GUUCAUUAUUUCCCUCAUCAUGUUAGGGUUCUGGGAUAGCUGCUGCUGCACCUGGUCAAACUCAGGAAGUCCAGUACCAAAUAAACCAGAUACCCCACUAGCAUCUAGCCCAUUAACACCAAGACCAGGAAAGAGUGAACUUCCAAGACCAGCUCCGGCUCCAAAGCCCUGUCCAUCAUUUGGACCAGCACCUGCUGUAGUCCCAGAAGUGUUGUUGGAAACACCUGAAGCUCCAAGAUUCGCUGAAGUUGGUGCGGCACCACGAACCAAGUGAAUAGUGUGAUCUGACUCCACACCGUAGCUGAGGAGGGUUUGGUCAUCCUUCAAGAUCCGGCCCUUGUAGAUGAGGCGCUGCUGCUCAGCGGGGACGUCGCACUUCUCCGCAACGGCGACCUUGAAGGCGGCGAUGGUGACGUCAAGGGAGAUCUGGACGGAGAACUUGGAGCCGUUGGAGGAGCGGAUGUUGACGGUGGCGAUGGUGGCGCCCGCGCUACCGGCGUCGACGGAAUCGGCGUCGGUGGCCAUGGGCGAGGAGAUGGCGAUGCUCUAACCCUAGGAAAUGAGCGAGAGGGGAAUUGCGUAAGAGG